UGUUGACGGCGGGGAUGUUA
rnacentral:miRNA from 1 species